AGUGAACGCUGGCGGUAGGCCUAACACAUGCAAGUCGAACGGCAGCACAGGAGAGCUUGCUCUCUGGGUGGCGAGUGGCGGACGGGUGAGGAAUACAUCGGAAUCUACUUUUUCGUGGGGGAUAACGUAGGGAAACUUACGCUAAUACCGCAUACGACCUACGGGUGAAAGCAGGGGAUCUUCGGACCUUGCGCGAUUGAAUGAGCCGAUGUCGGAUUAGCUAGUUGGCGGGGUAAAGGCCCACCAAGGCGACGAUCCGUAGCUGUGCUGAGAGGAUGGGCAGCCACACUGGAACUGAGACACAGUCCAGACUCCUACGGGCGGCAGCAGUGGGGAAUAUUGGACAAUGGGCGCAAGCCUGAUCCAGCCAUACCGCGUGGGUGAAGAAGGCCUUCGGGUUGUAAAGCCCUUUUGUUGGGAAAGAAAUCCAGCUGGUUAAUACCCGGUUGGGAUGACGGUACCCAAAGAAUAAGCACCGGCUAACUUCGUGCCAGCCGCCGCCGUAA
rnacentral:rRNA from 1 species